CAGAGCAAAGGCCUACUGACUGGGUAAAGUGUCCAGGUCUCUUGCAUUCUCCUCAGUCUCUAUACCUAGAAUGAAGGGAAGCCCAGCUGAAGACCACUUCCAAGGAGAUGGAGACCCAGACAUAAGACUGACCUCAGAAGUUCUGAGUGCUACAAACCAGGUCCAGGUGCUGGGGUCACAUGCCUGCACCACCAGAUCUGUCACCCUCCGUUGCUGGGC
rnacentral:lncRNA from 1 species